UUCUACAGCCAUAUCACCCUUCAGCCCAAGACUGGUUGCUCACUGAAGCUAAGCAGGGUUGAGCCUGGUCAGUACCUGGAUGGGAGACCUCCUGGGAAAACUAGGUUGCUGUUGGAA
rnacentral:rRNA from 1 species